rnacentral:siRNA from 1 species
CUACGUCCCUGCCCUUUGUACA